rnacentral:rRNA from 1 species
UACAGAGACUGCAAGCGUUAUUCGGAUUCACUGGGCGUAAAGGGUGCGCAGGCGGCCGAGUGUGUGAGGCGUGAAAGCCCGGGGCUUAACCCCGGAAUUGCACCUCAAACUACACGGCUAGAGCAUUGGAGAGGGUAGCAGAAUUCAUGGUGUAGCAGUGAAAUGCGCAGAUAUCAGGAGGAACACCGGUGGCGAAGGCGGCAUCCUGGACCGACAUUGACGCUGAGGCGCGAAAGCCAGGGGAGCAAACGGG